GAUCAUGGCGUCAGGAUGAACGCUGGCGGCGUGCUAACACAUGCAAGUCGAGCGGAGAUGUUGAGAGAUUCUUCGGAUGAUCUCUUCAUCUUAGCGGCGGAUGGGUGAGUAACACGUGGGUAACCUGCCCUGCACAGGGGGAUAACAGCUGGAAACGGCUGUUAAUACCGCAUAUGCACACGCUGCCGCAUGGCAGAGGGUGGAAAGAUUUAUCGGUGCAGGAUGGGCCCGCGUCGGAUUAACUAGUUGGCAGGGUAACGGCCUACCAAGGUUAUGAUCCGUAGCCGACCUGAGAGGGUGACCGGCCACAUUGGGACUGAGACACGGCCCAAACUCCUACGGGAGGCAGCAGUGGGGGAUAUUGCACAAUGGGCGGAAGCCUGAUGCAGCGACGCCGCGUGAAGGAAGAAGUAUUUCGGUAUGUAAACUUCUAUCAGCGGGGAAGAAGAUGACGGUACCCGACUAAGAAGCCCCGGCUAACUACGUGCCAGCCGCCGC
rnacentral:rRNA from 1 species